rnacentral:rRNA from 1 species
AUUGAACGCUGGCGGCAGGCCUAACACAUGCAAGUCGAGCGGAUGAAGGGAGCUUUCUCCUGGAUUCAGCGUCGGACGGGUGUGUAAUUCCUAGGAAUCUGCCUUGUAGUGGGGGAUAACGUCCGGAAACGGGCGCUAAUACCGCAUACGUCCUGAGGGAGAAAGUUGGUGUUCUUCGUACCUCACGCUAUCAUCUGAUCCUAGGUCGUAUUAGCUAGUUGGUGGGGUAAAGGCCUACCAAGGCGACGAUCCGUAACUGGUCUGAGAGGAUGAUCAGUCAAACUGGAACUGAGAAACGGACCAGACGCCUACGGGAGGAAGCAGAGGGGAAUAUUGGAAAAAGGGCGAAAGCAUGAUCAAGCAAUGCCGCGUGUGGGAAGAAGGUCAUCGGAUUGGAAAGCACUUUAAGUUGGGAGGAAGGGAAGUAAGUUAAUACAUUGAUGUUGUGAAGUUAAAAAAAGAAUAAGCACCGGCUAACUUCGUG